UGUCCAGCAAGCAUGUCCAUCUCUUGGUCCACGGGCCACAUGUGACCACGUGUGACUGAGAAUGACAGUGAAUGCAGCCCGACAGAAAAAUCUUAAAACUUCUUUAAACAUGAUUUUUGCAUUUGGGAGUUCCGGCUCAAGUUUCUGCCUACCACUCGAAGCCAGUUACUAAUAACAGCCCAGUGAGCUUUGCAUGCACGGAGAGCAGAUGGUGUUUUUGAAAGGAAGAGUGACCAUUCCUGUGACUUUGGACUUGGCUCCGUCGAACCCCUGAACGCCCAGUCAGAUCCAAGUCCCUAGAAGCCAUACAUGAACACAACACCUAGGCCAUGGUUGUCUCCUAGUUGAAGAUGUCAUGAUCAUUUGAAUACGUGGCUUUUCUGAAGGAAGCUGUGAGGUUCUUUCAAAGAGAAGGAUUCCUAAGAGUAUAAGGGACAUUGUGACCAUUUAAGCAUAUUUAAGCAUUCUAUGAUUUCAUAUGUGCACUAUCAUUUUAAUGAAUAUAAUAUGUUCUGUCUAUGGCUGAGUAAUGGUUUUUGAUGGCCAUUCCUUAUCUUCUAAUUGAUUUAAUGUAAUAAAAUAAUUCAAAAUUUA
rnacentral:lncRNA from 1 species